GGCGCCGGUUCCCACGUGGGACUAAUAGGGAAUUCGAAACGCCGCCCAGGCGUCAAUCGAAACUGCCCCCGCAACUGUAGGUGCUGAGCCUGCCCCUGAAUGCCACUGGACCUUGUCCGGGAAGGCGGGGGCGUGGCGAUGACGCAUCAGUCAGGAGACCUGCCGGCCCAG
rnacentral:ncRNA from 1 species